UGCAGAAGCUACAGGAAGCGGAAGGCAGAAAUUGCGCCAAAAUUUGAAUGAGAAGAUACAGCAGCAGCUGGAAUAUCUGCCCUGCACAAAAUGGCUCCAGUGGUUAGAAAGAGGUGGUGGCAGAAUGGUUUUGUGGCAACUGCAAGCAUAUGGCAACUUCAUGUUUUUCCACAAGGUUUUGAGGCCAGUUUGCAGGUGAUGCUAAAGUUAACAGAUCUACAGCAACGGUUUACAUAGAGCCACAAAACGUACUGCCUAGUACGUAGUCCAAAGAAAUGUUUCUGCGCCUCCUGUCUUGUGAGGUUAGAACAGAUCUAGCAAUGUGAAGAGAGGCCAUGAUGCAUAAAAGGUCUCAACUCUGCCUGUGGAAGAUACUUUAUGCAAUAACUAGACUGCUACUGGCAGAUGAGAUGAUGUGUAGCAUAUUUACAAAAACCUCACAUCCAGGCUACAAGUUUGAGGAGCGUUCACAGAUUUUACGAUGAGAGGAGAGAGGCCAUAUUGUGAAAAGAGCUCACUUCACCUCAGCUGGUGCUGUCACUAGAUGAUGCCUUCUCAAUACAAUAACACUGUGUGGUGUAUGAUAUGUUGUACAAAGUUUGUGUAGAAGCGGAAGACUACAAGCUUAUCGGGACGACUUACAGAUUGCCGAUAACUUGAUCCAACGCCUUCAUGCAACUAUUCCUUGAUGGGAACUUGUGACAUCAGGCCAGCUGGCUUGUUGGAAUAUCUGUCCAGCUCAAAAACGGCUCCAGUGGUUAGAACCGGUGUUGGCAUGGCAGAAUGGUUUUAUUGGACUGCAAGCAUAUGACAGCUUAAUUUUCUUCCACAAGGUUGUGAGGCCAGUUUGCAGGUGAUGCUAAAGUCAACAGAUCUACAGCACAAGUUGACAUACAGCCAACACUUAGUGUCUAGUUCAUUGUCAAAAGAAAUGUUUCUGUGCCUCCUUUGUUAAAACAGGUGUUUUCCAGCUGGAGUACGUGUGCGUGUUUUGUGUAACUGCUGCUCUCAUAACUCGGUGUACCCGUGGAAAGGGAUUGUCCUUGGCGUUCCUGUUUGAACUACAAACCUGACUAUUUAAUAAAAUGCUAAUAAAGUGUUUCUGAUAUCUGUUGUAUUAAUAAAGUUGUGACUGAUCUGAUCUUA